CCCGGGUAGGGGCCGUGGUGACGCCAUCCGGCUGCGCCGGCCGUGCCGGGGUUAGAGGCCGGGGGAACGGAGGAGCGGGCUUAGCUGCGGCCACCGCGGCGGCCACCCCGGCGGCCUCCGCGGGCGGCCCCCUUGUGAGUGUUAAAGUCCGUCUUACGCUGGAGAGGAAGUGUAAGACUGGAACUGGCCAGGGGCUUUCCUCCCCUUGCCGUUCAGGUCUGCCCUGCUCCGGCGCCUCCGCCUCCCGGGACUCCAGAGCGUGGGCCUUUCCCGGGCCCAGAGACGAGGAAUAGAAUGCCGUGUUUUAAGACUGAGUCAUUCAUCUCUUGAGCAUCAACAAGCUGGUGACAUCAUGGUCUACAGGACAGGCAAGUGCCCUGCCGCAUGGGCUGCUCUGCCUUAUUUGUAGACUGAAGAGGGUGUGCCAAAGCUGGAGAUGCAGUCGCGAUCUGCUGUAUAGUUAGAAGAGGAGCCCUAGCAUUAACACUUCUCAAGGGAAGCUUAUGUUCCAGAGGCUUCCAUGCAGCUAAAGAAUCGUUGAACACUACGUGAGAAACUAAUGAUGUGCUGUAUGCUGGCCAAUGGAACGUAAUACAUACAUAAAGGAAAGCCUCUGAUAAGAGAUAGCCGCAGAAAUGCUGGCUCUUCGCAGAGGUUCUGCGCUUCCUGGGUGGUCUGCUGAGCUGCUGCUCCUGGUGUGCUCCCGCGGACCAUGCAGAUGCCUUUCCCACCAGGACCGGCUUUGACUUCACCCACACAGAGGUCCGGUGGUGGAGUGUGAGGAUGGCGUGUUUGGUUGAUGUCUUUCAUAAUGUCUGAAGAAGGAAAUUACAGUUUGAUGAAGGACCUGCUGUUGUCGCACCGUAGAAUUGUGUUCUCUUCUCCCAUGGGGGUGUUCCCUGGGGAUGACAAGGAUUUCCGCAGUCUGGUGUUUUGGGGGCUGGUGUUGCCAUGGGACUUUUCAGUGGCUGGAUUCUGGGAAGGAAAUCACCUGGAAGCACGUCGUGCGGUGGUCCCUGGCAAGAGGCCACGACAGAGCUGUGGGCUGUGCCUGUGGGCUGUGACCGAGCAUGGAGGCCCGUGGUUAGCUGCUCAGUGCCCUGUGUGUCACCUCUGCUGUUCUCUGUCUUACAUGGACAAACGGUUUGUGCCUGUCAUUCCUGCCCCUGGGACGGCAUCUGAGUUCAGGUUUAAUAGAAACAACAGAAGAUCAGAAGUGUUGCCCUACUACUGUACAUCGCAGUUGGCCUGCCCUGUAACACAGUUCAGGCCAUUCUCUCCAGAGGAAGAAAGGCUGGACUCCCCAGUCCCUGCAGGAAAGGCCUGUCCCGUCUCAUACGACAUCUGCACAAAGUUGAAAGUCUUGUGUUUUAAGCAUGACAAUAAUACAAAAGAGAUUUUGGUUUCAUGGCCACCCACUGCAGCCCAGCCCUAAAAUGGCCUGGCGCUCACUUCUGCUUAGAGGAAUACUCUCUGCUCUUCUGGACAUCAGGCUUGAAGGUAUCACUGCCAGGCUUCCAACCAGCUGGGCACACUUCCCCAUGCCUGUCGGUAAACUGGAAGGCCUGAGCCAGUCGCAGAGUCUCAUCCACAAGCGGCCUAUGGAAGAAUGCAUCUCCUGGUUUCACUACUGAAUAGCAGCCUGUGUGACGGUAGUGUUUUAGUGCUUUGGCAGGUAUCUGUAGCCGUGUUCCAAGAUGGGCACUGUCCCAGUGUAGGACUCGUCACUGUGAUUCGGUUUGUCAAGUGACACGUGAGAACCACGAGCCAAGAUUGAGGUGGCGAGAACACCAUCAAGACGAGAAGGAAGGGACGGAGGCAAAGUUGAGUGGUUGUUGGAGCUUGUCCUUCAUGCCAAACCAGAGCCUCUAGUUUGGGGGCCGCGACAGAGGCUGGACUCCAGCUCUGUUGAAGGAGGAGGAGCUGGGAGGAGGCCAUGGCUGUGGACGGCCGCCUGAAUCUGCUCUCGCUUCUUGGGUCCUGGGGCAGUUUGUGUGGCCCAGCAUCGGCGGUGCUGACACCUGGGAGUGAGCCUGGAGGCCGCUUAUGGGAGCUGGUGCUGAAGCCCCCAGCCCGGCGGCAAGGGUCUCUACUACCGAGAAGGGUGGGUGAACGGCAGGGGCUCCAGUCUGGGGAACAGCUCAGUGCCUGACGGGCUGUGGAGCUCACUUCCUUUAAGCAUGUACUAUAGGCGUCUGCUGGUUCAGUGUUUAGUCAACAUUAACUCUGUUUUUAUUGAGGAAAGAGUUGGCUGGGAGAAACACUUAGCAAGGCAGUGUUAAAGACACACCAUCACAGGCUGGGUAGGGCUCCGCUGAGAGGAGGCUGUGCUGAGUCUGGUGGGGGCCAUCCUCCCAACCCCACAGGCCAAUUCCAGGAAAUCAACUCACAGGCCCGUCAGUAGUGCCUGGACUGUGGACCAAGCAAAGAGCUCCUGGAGUCGCCGCUUAGCCCGCAGGCGUCGCAGGAGCUCUGGCUUUCUUCAGCUCCUCCCCAUGGGGUGGUCGCCUCCGGACAGUUUGUUCUGAAGAACAGCAACAAAUUCUGGACCACGAGCACUUGGACAGUAACUUAAAAUACACAUUCAGACCUUUUGAUCCAGCAAGGCUUGUGCCUAGGAGCUAUCGUGAAGAAAUGACCUGCUUAGCCGGAUGGGCUUUCAUGUAUCUGCAAUGUUUGAACUUUUUAUGGGAGCGGCGCUUGUGAGUCUUCUUGGUACUGGCAGAACGCUUCCUGCCAGAGUGGCUGGGGGAGGCCGGUGUGCCCUUCAUCACCGUGAGUGGGUCAGAGUUCCUGAAAAUGUUGGUUGGCAUGGGCCAGCAAGGGUUUGUAACAUGUUUGCAGCUGCUCGAAAAAACCUCCUUGUAUCUUACUUAUUGAUGAAAUUGAUGCCAUUGGCGGAAAGCAAGGCCAGGGGCACCGUGGAGCCCAGAAUGAGCAGGAGAACACACUGAACCCGAUGCUUGUGGAGAUAGACGGUGAGCGGAUGCCAGUGACAGCCGCUGAGACCCGGCCUGUGCUGUCAGCACCGCCAGAACCUCCUCCAGCCUUUUGUUCCUGUAAACUCCCUGGGUGAGAAUCCUUGAUGGUUCAGUUUUUAGAAGGCUGCUUUCCGGCAGAGUUAGUGGAGAAAGCUGUGUUAGAUCAACACUGGCCCCAGGAGUCAGCGAUAGGGUGAGGGGCCCAUGUACCCUGCCUGUGGCCCACCAGCAGGAGGGGUUAGCAAGGGUGUGGUGGCGGAAGUCCUGUUGGGGAGGUGGACCGGCCAGAUGGGGGCUCCCCUGCCCCUCCUCUCCUAGGCCUUAGUGCCCACAGGGUGGUGCGGUUGGAGCCCGUGUUGCUUCCUGUGUUGAAUUGCAUGAGUGGGCAGGCCUGCCUCAUGCCAAAAUCUCUCUCCUCUUGGUUAAGACUUUUCCUCAGAGUGAUUCCAGCCAAGUGUGUCUGGGAGCUUGUCAGGCCUGCUGAAGCUUCACCGGAAACGUCUGAGUGUUGAUGCUACUUUUCAAAUUUGGAGAAGCUCUCAGGGGGCCGGUGGCAAGUUUUGAUCUUCACUUUGGGGUUGCUGGGAGUUCCCUGGGUUUGGGGAUUCACUAGGAGGACACUCAGAACCUCAGGUGUGCUCGUACCCAUGACUGUGGCUGAUGACAGACCCAGAACAAAAUCUGUGCAGGGAAGGCUGUGGUCAGGGAAGUCGGCUGCAGCCUCCCUGAGGACGGGGCGGGAGGUGCUGCUCUCCUUUCGUGGAGCUGUGAUGACACAUGGGUGCUGCGGUUGCCCGAGAUUUUCACUCUGUGCCUAGUUUGUACCACCAUCCCCGCAGAUGGUGGUACAGGAGACACACAGCGUACACUACUGUCUGCACCAGCCGUCUAGGCAUGGACGGCCCCUCCCAAAUCUCAGGUCCCAGAGUGCGCUGAGGGCUGCCUUGGAAGCUGACCCUGAGAGGAUGAACAGUUAGACCUGCUGUGUUAUUUUCUUUCUGCAUAGACCAAAACAUUUCCAGAAUCUUCCAUUAUACUCAGUGUCCAGCAGUGGCUCUAAUUUGAUGAUGAUUCUGUUCUGAUAUCUCAGAAGACUGAUGGGAGGGACCAUUCAGGGGUGAGAGUGGGUGGGAGCACCAGCACUUCUUCUCUCGGCCAUCCCUGUUCUCAGCAGCCUGACCUGCCCUGGAGUAGGCCUGCUCCUUGUAAGUCCAGCAGGGCUGGCCAGAUGGAGACCUCGGGAGGUGGCUGGGGCACUGACACAGCGGAGGGUCUCCUCACUCCCUGGGUGGGUGGUAACAGGUGGCAUCAGGCUGUCAGGAACCAGUGGUGAAGCACGGUGGGGGUCCACACCCUGAGACCAGGACAUGGAGAUCCCUGUUAGCUGAGGAGGGUCUGGUUACUCUCUGACGGCUGUGUCUCAGCCAGAGCAGUGGGGUCUGCCAGUACCAGAGCCACGGGUGUGCUGCUGGGUUCCUGCCUGUGAAGGGUCAGAGUGAGAGGCUCUCAGAGCCAGCCCUGGGCAUGAGCGUGUGCCCUGCUAAGCAGCCUCUGCUCUCAGUUUGGAGGAAGCAGAGGGAGAGCCAGCGAAGGGCCACUCAGGGUGGCCAGUGGACCUGGAAGGACAGGCAGCUGUGCAGAAGAGGACCUGCUCUCAGGGCCUGAGGGAGGAGGAGAGCUAGGAACACAGUGCUGUCCUCGUCGACACCAGCCUGAGCUCUCUUCUUGGGCUCACUUGCUUCUCAUGUCCAGGGUUCGCCUCUCCACAAGCACUGUGGUGCUGGCUGGCACCAGCUGCCCUGUCGUCCUCGACCCGGCCCUGACGCAGCCUGGCCUGUCUGACCGCCUGAUUCAUGUCGGCACCCCUGACGUCAGAGGCAGGGCCUCCAUCUUCAGAGUCCACCUGUGCCCGCUGAAGCUAGACAAGAGCCUCCAGAAGGACAUGCUAGCAGGAAAGCUCCUGGUGCUCGCGUGGUGCUUCCCGGCUCGAUUCUCUUCAGACUUGGUAACUUUUUGCUGCAGAGGACCAACUGGUGUCUGAGGACAGACCCACUGAAAUUGUGCGUUUGGGAUGAGCGAAGAGCUGGCACAGGUGUCCUGGGACCUCUCCGGAUGAGAGGCUGGUAGGGAAGCCGUAUGGUGAGGCCACUGGCCGGCUCGUUGCUGAGCAGGUGGGGCACCUGUGAGCUCCGCCGGCGGGCGGGACCUGGACCUGCUGACCCGGUGCUGAGAGCAGCUGGAGCGGGUGGGCAGGCGCUGCUGGAGGAGGUGGUGCUGGGCGAGGCGGACAUGGAGCUGCUGGGUCCCGGCCCUCUGUGGAGAACCGGCCUCUGUGAGCAGUCUGUGGAAGGCACCAAGGCACCGGCAGCCUGCAGGAGGACGCCUCCCUUCCCCAGCGGCUGAAGGGCUGGAGCUGGGGGCGUGAGGAGGGCAGUGCAGAGUGCUGCCUCCAGGAGAGCACAGCCUAGUGACCUUGGCUGUGAAAGCAGCUGCCCAAAUCUCUGGAAAACAAAUUAAAACAUGGUAACAGCAAAUGGGUGUUGUAGAUGCUGGUCCCCAGUGAGCGGGGCAAGCGGGGCAAGCGGUGCGGCUGUAAGUCCCCUGUCCCCCGGGGAGCCAAGGGUGUGUGUGUUCCUGGUGGGGUUUUGAGUUUGGACCUUCAGGACCUCCCACAAAGGGAGGGGGUAGUGGGCGGGUUUGGUGGGAACUGCUGCCUCACAGGCAAGUGUGAGUGCUGGUCUCUUUAACUGCCCCAAGGAGAGGAGGCUUUGGCUGAGUUCAGAAAUUCUGAAGGUUUAGUGAAGUGGCAGAAGAAAGAAAAGGGAGAUCGAAGUCAGUGCCCAAGAGAAAGUGUUAGGUUUUUGGAACAGCUGUUUGGGUUGGUGGAAGGCCUGUCAGUGGUUCUGGAGGAAACUCCACACUUAGCCCAAGUGUGUGGUUGGGGGAAGGGUAAUGGAGCCAUGGGGUCCCAAACCACUUGCACACCCAGCACCUGGGUGCUGCUCUGAGCACGAGGGAGGUGCCUUCUUAGGCAAAGCAGCCCGUUCCCAGGGUAGGUGACUUUACCGACAAGGGUGUGUCUGGAUUUAAUUCCCUUCUUCAGCAAGCCGUGUUCUCUGCUACCCGCUUUUGUCAGAAUCACAGAGGAGGCUCUGGACUGAGCUGGGACCCCCUGGGUUGUAUGUGGAGAGCCCUGUUGUUGCUGCCCCUGGUAACCUCUUCCUGGUGUUGGGUAGCUGCCCCACAAAAGAAAGCAGGUCCUGGGUUGGGAGAUCUUGCCCUCUGCUGCCGUGGAUCGUCUGGUUGAUCUCGGAGCGUGGCCAGGGCCCAGCCCGGGCAGCGGGGGUCAGGACUGGCCUGGGGCUCGGACAAGGUCCUGCUUGUUCUUCAUGCAGCCUGCCUCCCGGAGGCAGUAGAGGGCUGUCAGCCCUCGGGCGGGCGGUAUGUGUAUGUCCGGGACCCCGGGUGUGCAGGGCCUCCUGGAGAGGGGGUGUCCCUAUUUGCUGCCGCAUAGCACCUCUGCUCUCUGCUUGGCCAAGACCAGACGCUGGCAUUUGUUUAAAAAUUCCCAAAUCAUUUGUUAGGUUGGACUAAAAAUUAGCAUUUCCAGCUUGGGACAAGCACUUCUAAGUUUUGUUGUUUGUAAAACAUGCCACUAUUGAAUUUCUUACAUCCCCAGAGCCCAUUCUGUAAUGAAGUGUCCAGUAACUCUGCCUUCCUUAGCUGAGCUGCUGGGGGACCUGCCGGGGUCCUGUCUGGGGGCUCCCUCUGAUGGAGGGGAGGGUGCUCUGUGCUGUCCAGAGCCUGGGGACCUGUUCAUUUUGAGGCUUGGUACAGCCCCUCUCUGGGGUUGAGGGCCUGCUCUCAGCCCACCUGGGGGCUUCCCCAUCCCCAACCCCUGCUGUCUCCUGCCUUGGAUGCCCUCGUGCUCACCUCUCCUGAGUCUCCUUAGCACUUCCCUUCACCCAUUUGGGCCACCAGGGCUCACGUGAUGCAGGCCCAGGGAUGGACACCUGGCCUGGAAUCUUCCAUGAUGAGGGAGCCUUAGGCUUUCCUCUGGAGAGCCCGGUGGGAGGAACUGCCUGGCGUGGGGCCCAGGGCCUGUUCUCUGGGCCCCUUGUUUCACGUGUAAUCCAAAGGAUUGGGGUUUUGUCCUCACUCUUGGCCUUCUCCUCACAGGCCUUAUCUCUGGGCUCCAGGUCUGGAGCUUCCUGGGACCCUGCCUGGGCAGGGAAGAUUUGCCGGAGUGCACCUUGGGCCUUUCCAGGCCUGGGCCUGGGGUGGGGGAUGAGGAGCAGGAUCUUCACUUCCUAAAGCCUAGAAAUCCAGGGCGCCUGUCCCUGAGACAUGGCCCAAAUAAGCAGCACAGAGGAGCCCCCAGUGGCUUCAGCUGGAGGAGACCAGAGCAGAAGUUCUGCUCCUUGAGCAGCCAACCCACCCCCGCCCCCCAGAACUCACUCCUGAGCACUGGGGUCACCUGGAAAAGAGAAGAGGCUGUGCUUGGGCCUUAGGAAGAGGUGAGAUUUUAAUCAGAUCUUUUGUAAAUAGCUCUGUGGAAGGAAGCCGUAGCAGGAAGGCUGGGGGCUGGGGAGCACUACCCUGGAGCGGGGGGGCAUGCAGCUGCCCUUAACGGGAUUUGAUUUUAAGUGGACUUACAGAUGAUGCCCAGUAAAAGUCCCUUUGAAUUGGUGCUCGUGGUGUAGAGGGUGCAGGGAAAGUCCCUCGGCAUUUCUGAGGCCUGUUUUCUCAGCGGGGACCUUGCCUUUACUGUGCCAAGCGGGCCGAGGGCACGCCCAGGGCCACAGCAGAACAGGUUUCCCUUCCCUAGAAAUGUGUGAGUGGGGAAUGGGUCAGGGCAGGUUGGCCUGGGCACCGAAAGCAAACUCACACAUUUAUUUGAAAACUUCUUGGACUUGCUGUCAGACCAGAGCCUCUCCAGUCCCUUAGGUCAUAGAAAGCAGCAAUUGGAGCAGCUGAGCCUGGUGCCCUCUCAGUUGGGGGCCAUGCUACCCAGGUCAGGACGCUAGCCAGGGGCACAGAUCUAGGGCUGUGCAUGCCUCUGUGUGCGUUUUUGAUAGGCUGUGGGGAUGUGUCCCUGCCAAGGGCAGACCCCGUGUGCCUACUCCCCCACCCACAGUCUGAGGUGGUCGUGCCACAUUCGGUGUUCGGAGCCGAGGAUGGUGGGCCCAGCUGUCCCACAGGAACUAAGACGAGCAGGGUCUUAGGGUCUGGGGAGGAGGCCCCGGUGCCAACGAUGCGCCCUGGAGGAGGAUGGGAUUGAAAGGAAGGUGGUGGUGUUCAGGACAGACUCCCCUACCCACAUUCUUGGCUGGAUAGCAGAGUAUCCCAUGGGCCAGAGCAUGGUGUGCCCAUUCCCAGACCGGAACCCUGAGACCCUGGGGGUUUUGCAGAGAAACUCUCUCUGGCGUAGGUCCCCCUCACCCCGCACCCACUCGGGAAUCUUCUGGCAGAUGAGAGCACCAGUCCUGUGGACAGAAGUUUCCAAGAGGCCUAGGCCACUCCCACCUCCUCAGGUCCGUUGUCCCUGAUCCGAGGACUGGAAGGGAGAGGGACAUAAGGCCACUGGGCUGUGCUUGUGCUGGAGCACCCCAAGAACCUGGCCCAGAGCCACAUGGGGUGGGCAGAGUGUCCGAGGGGUCGGAACUGUCCAGAUGGGCACUGCCUUGGCCCCAGGGCCAGCUGGCCUAGUCCUCCUUGGGCCUCUCCACGGUAAGAAAUGUGUCUGCAAUCGCUGGCCGGUGCUCCGGGUCACCAAGUGGCUGCUUCUCUCGGUUCUGCUCGGCCCUGGUUCGUGUCCAGGAGGGGGAGCGCAGACAGCCGGCCCUGGGCAGCGGGUGCAGGCCUGAUGGGAACAUGGGGUCAGGUCGCUCCUGCAGCAACGGGGCUGGGCUUGUAUGCGCCUGGCCACAUGCAGGGAUCCCCUGAGUGCUCAAAAAACACAGAUGCCAGGCGUGGACUUGUGGGUCUGGGUGCAGCCUGGGCAAAGGCUUUUUUGAUGCUCAAGGAGGGUCCCUGUGUAGCCGAGACCCCACCCUGGGUGUGAGCCCGGCCCUAGCAGCUAGCUGCCCCAUCGCCUUCCCAGGGUGCAGGCUCUCUAGGGGUGGGGUCUGAGCACCCCCUUUCCACCCCACCCCGAACAGAGUGUGAGAAGGGAGAGAAGGUCGCUGGCUCCCCACACCCACUGGUGGUCUUGCCAUUUCCGGGGCCCUCGAGGUCUGGGACGAAGGGCAACAUUUCCUUGCGAACCGAAGGGGAAACUAAGGCCUGAGCUGUGGGGCCAGAAAUGAUGAAGGCCACCCCACUUCGCUUUGUCUAACUUGUGAUUAAAUUCACAUGUAGUAAAUUUUGCUUUUGAUGGGACUAUGACUUGGGCCUUUUGGCAUUUGGAAAGGAAAAUUGAGGAAGGCAGGAGGAAAAUUCCUUCCAGUUUGGCAAAUAGACAUGUAAAAUGCAAAAAUAUUGAAUGAGAUGGUACAGUGGCAAGCACCAAUUCUGACACAGGUGUGAAAAUUACUUCCAAAAAGAGGGGUUGUGGAGAGCCGUGUUCCAUGGGCUUGGGCCCCAGGACUGCCCCACAUUGCUCACCACGCCCCAACUCCAGCCCACCUGCUGGCGACUCCCCAGCCAGGCUUUCGUCGUCUGAGUCAGCAAAGACCUCGGCCAGCUCCUGGUCGGACAUGUCAGUCAACUCGGUGAGGUCGAGGAGGUCAAAGUGCACCUCUAGGGAGGAGACGCUGCUCAGGGGCUCUGCAGGGCAGGGGAAGGGGGUGCUUGUCACAGGCACAGUCCGGCCGGGGACCAGCGCCCUCCCCCCACCGCCGACGGAGCAUGGGGAAGAACUAGAGCUCUGGGUGAAGCCCCACAGGGUCGGGCUAAGAUGGGGCAGACCCAGACACCGGUCUGCUCUCCACACUCUAGACUAAAUGCCUUCUGGGGGCCCCCAUUUUGCAGAUAGUGUAGCCAAGGCCCACAGGGCCCGAGCUGUAAGAGCUCAGCCACAGCAGCCCCCUCCCCACCCACACAGCUGGGGGCGUGUCUGCUUAGGAUGUGGACCCUGACGCCCAUUUCCCAGGGGGCUCAUGGUCCCUGUGGAGCACACGCUGGGCAGGUCGCUGUACUUACGCCUCCUCUCUGUGACCUGCAGGAGCCCUGGGGCUGGUAUUGGGAUGCCCACCUCCUCCUCAGCUGUGGGCGAGUGGCAGCUGUCCCCUUUCCCAUGGGACAGGGUGCCCGGGGCUGCCUGUGGUGCCUCCACGUCCUUAAUUAUUUCUGCAACAAAGACAGACUGUGUUACCUGGGAGGACAGAGGCUGGAGGGAAAGACGUGAGUCCUUGGCUCUCCGAAUCCUCCUUGGAGGCUCUGGGCAGUGACCAGGGUUGCCUGGGGUAGUCUGGGGCUGGGAUCCCAGACAAGGGCCACUGGGUGGAAUGAGCAAGAGGGUGUCCAACACUGUCAUCUGUCUCUACUUUUAGUGGUCACUUUGGCAUUUCCUUGCCUUUUGGGUCUCUUUGAUCCAGAAUGGACCCUGCUUGCCUCUCUGUCCUCUGUGGAUGGACUUCUUGUAAAAACCCAUGUUCUGUUUGAAUGCGCAAUGACUUAUUUUCAUAGUAAAAGAGACUGGAGAAUA